rnacentral:misc_RNA from 1 species
CAACGCUCGUCUUCUCCACACAAAGAGGCGAAGGAGUAAAAGGACGGAGCCGACUAGACCAACGCGCCCGCGUCUUUCCACAAGAACUGACCCGUAACGCACUUCAUUAAGCGCCGCGGAUAAUGGCGACUCUCAAGGACGGCCGCUUUCUGUUCAUCCAUGCGGAUCGACACAAUCUACUCCUGGAGCAACCCGUGAAGGCGGUGGCUGUUUCUCCAUCGUCGAACACGACCGCGACAGCCGCAGCUGCCAAAGGCGGCGCGGCGGCGGCAUCGUUACCUGCCUCUUCUGCCACUUUCCAACUUUUAUACGGCGGAGUUGUGCACGCCUUCGCGUUGAAUGCCACGCAGUCCCACAUUGCGAUGGUUUGCCCAGCCGGUAGUGCGGCAGCCGCGUCGGCCGCGGCCGGCCAUCUUCGCGGCGACGGCCCAAGCACGGUGCUGCGACUCUUCUCCUUUACCCGUGGCGAGGUGGGCGAGCUGAUCGACGAGCUUGUGACCGCAGAGGCGUGCGGUGUGGUAUGGGUAGGAAAUCGACACCUCGCGCUGGACGUGCGCCGAUCCAGUGAAUGCGUCCAUAGCGAGGCACCCCCUUCGUCCUCAUCCUCUUCACUGUCGUCGGCUCCUGCGACGUCUACCAUCUUGAUUGAAGUCACCAAAACACCGGAGAAGUUGAAAUAUGUGCGGCAGGACCAGGCGGCGGCAUCGCCGGUGUCUGUCCUGGGGUCCGUUCUCUGCGAAAUACGCGUCGUCAAGCAGAGCCUUCGCUUCUGGGACUUGCAGAGGGAAAAGGUGAUGCACGAGUGCGUAUUGCCGAACCGCCGUCUCCGUCAGGGUAAGACCCGCGUGGCGGCCGCAGCGUGCAGCGACGGUCCGUUUGUGCUAGUGGUGAACGAUGACUGGACGGUGCAUGGCUUUCACGUGAGCAGGCGCUCCGUGCGAGAGCUGAAGCCGAUGCUGUCACAGUUCGAGUCGCAAUCAGUCAACGUCACCAACAACCGCGGCGGAAACGCGAAGGUGAGCGAGGCGAACAGCGAGGGCCAGGAGGUGGCGGUGGCAGGAGAAGGGGAGGAGCCUCCUAUGUCGCCCCAGCCUGCCAAGAGCUCGGCACUCUCCCACAAACUCGCGCGCCCUCGCCUCUUCGCCCGUGCAAUCAGCGACACGCAAGUGCUUCUGGCCCUCCAGGGAUCCUCAACUAUUUUGCAGUGCGCCUGCGAGCCGAAAGGCAGCCGCGAUGAGGAAUGGACUGUGGUCGCCAAGAUGCGUUUGCCGCGGCGACUGCAGGCGACGUGCGAGGUGGUCGGACUCUCCCCUCGAGGGUGCCUCGUCCGUCAGUACGAACUAGCGGAGCGCAGCGCGCAGAGCUCGACAGCGGCCGCUCCGUCAGACACACGGACGGGGGCGUCUGCGAACGGCCAGAAGACCGUCGCCUACUUUGUGGUACCCCUGGAAAUGAAAGCGACUGGCAAGGCCUCCGUGGAGGUGGCCGUGGGCCCACCGGCGGUGACUGCUGUUCAUGGCAGCUCAGUUACUACGGAAAGCAGCGCCGCGGCGCCGAGGGAGAGCACUGCAAGUGCAAAGAACGUGGAGACGUCGGCGACAUCGGAGGUGGCCUCAGAGACGUCGCGGUCGGAGGGGAAGCGAAAGCGCAAGAAGAAGUCGGCCGCCGCAGUGAACGGCGACGCAUCGGCGUCUGCAACGUCUCCGGCAGCCACAUCUACAAGCACCGGUGGCACAGCGAAUGAGCAGGGUGACGGUAGUGACCACGGCAACGCAGACAGUCCCUUGCAAUGCGCCGUUAGAAGGCUGCUUGUGCAUACUGGCAUCGCCGGAAAGGGCCAGUUACACGGCACCUUUGCAAAAGAAUCUGCAGAGAAUGCUGCAGACGCCGACGCCGCGGCUGCCGCUGCGCCUCCGGAACGCGGACGCGAAUGGUACUCUGCUGAUGUGCUGAUGAGCGCGGGAGGUGUGCUAGUGGGCGUUGUGUUGGGUGUGGUGCUAAUGCGUCGCUUCUCACUCCUAUAGCUGCCGCUUAGGAGAGAGAUGGCAAAGUCUGCCGGCGACAAGGGUUGCGUGCCGUGAGGGGCUGUGAACCACGGCGAACCUGCGCGAGGGGUGUGCGCGCACUUACAGACUGCUUCAAGUGCGUGUUUGCCUUUUGAUGACCGCGCCCCACGGCCGCGUGUGGAAGACGCUGACGCCUAAAGAU